rnacentral:rRNA from 1 species
UACGAAGGGGGCGAGCGUUGUUCGGAAUUACUGGGCGUAAAGGGCGCGCAGGCGGCCCUUGAAGUCAGGCGUGAAAGCCCCGGGCUCAACCUGGGAGGUGCGCUUGAUACUCGAGGGCUUGAGUGCGGGAGAGGAGAGUGGAAUUCCCAGUGUAGAGGUGAAAUUCGUAGAUAUUGGGAAGAACACCGGUGGCGAAGGCGGCUCUCUGGACCGUAACUGACGCUGAGGCGCGAAAGCCAGGGAGCAAACGGG